UACAGAGGUCUCAAGCGUUGUUCGGAUUCAUUGGGCGUAAAGGGUGCGUAGGCGGCGCGGUAAGUCGGGUGUGAAAUCUCGGAGCUUAACUCCGAACUGCAUUCGAUACGGCCGUGCUUGAGGACUGGAGAGGAGACUGGAAUUUACGGUGUAGUGGUGAAAUGCGUAGAUAUCGUAAGGAAGACCAGUGGCGAAGGCGGUC
rnacentral:rRNA from 1 species